CCCCUCACUGCCCCCACCCCGACGACAUGUUUUCCCCAACUGGUCAGAAGUUCUUGUCUUACUGUCACAUGGUGUUAAAUUUUAGAAAAAGGAGACAUUACCGCUUGACAGACUACAACAGCUGAACAGCAACAGCUGGGAGGACACAGUUGCAGGCGUAACAUUCGGUCCCGGAGAAGGCAGCAACAGGUGGGGUGAAAGGAAGAGAAAUGGAUGUGGUAAGCUUGAGGGUGGGGUUGUCUGAGACGGAUCUUGGCAGGAAUCAAAUUCUCUACUUCAGAGGGAAUCUCUCUGGGCAUGACAGCCCAUGUGCCUGAAUGUCUGUCCUUUUUCUGAACAAAUACAUCUUGAAAAAAGAGUGAGGAUUAAGAGAGCCAAAGCUUUGGUUUCUGUUAAAAUAAAGCAAAUGAAUCUACUUGACUCACUAUGGUAACUGAUCCCUCCCAAAGAGCUCGUGGUCACUAGGAUCAGAAGAUAUCUGAUCCAGUACAUGCAGAUCAGAAUCUUUAGGGCAAGCACUGCUUUCAGACUGAGUGAAGACAUUUUGAGGCUUAAGAACCAGACUUGUUGGAUUCAGCAUUUCAUUCUGUCAAAGAGUUGAUUGACAAUGGGAAUGAGUCAUUUAAUUUUCUGAUUCAUCAGCUAGACCUUUCUUCUUAAGCGUGGCCAUUCCGUACUUCCUAAUAGAGAUGAAUGGCUGAAAAAUCAAAGCCUACCAUGAUCCUCAGAUAAGAAGUACAAUGUGUUAACCUAAUUAUCACUACAGCAGUUAUAUAACCAAGCUAUUAAAGUGACAUGUAGGUUGAAAAUACAUUAAGGUUUUGAGCACAGGAAAUUUAUUUUUUCCCUAUAAUAUGGUUCAAAUCUCCAGCCAUUUUUAGCCAAGGAUAGAGGCUUUUGAAAAUCCCAAAUGACUUUUUAUUUAACUUUGCUUUUGAUGCUAAUUCCCAUGAAGUCCAUUAGGGGAAAUUUUUUUUCUUUCUCUUAAAAGAACUACCCAAAGCCUUUAGGAAAAAGUGGUAUAGCUACCUAGUCAAGCUAUACAGAGUGGAGUAUGUUCUAUCUUGUCCUACCACUAUCGCUGAGUACAAAGUGUCAUGUGACCUAAUCACUUCACUUCUCAAUUUCCUCUUUAUAUGAAUAGCUACAUAUUUGCCCUGUUUCAUAGGAAUAGGGCAGGUAAGAGAAGAGGAGAGAUGUAAAUGACAUUAGGGUCUGAGGAAGAAAGGAGAUGAAGCUAAGGAUUGUAUUUUGCGUUUUUUUUUUUUUUAAUAAUAAAGAUGAAUUCAGGGUGUCCUAAUGACACCUUCCCUCUCCCCCUCACCCACCUCCAUCUGCCCAUCCUUCAGGGCCCAGCUCAACUCCCCUGUCUCUGCAUCUCGCCACUUGACCCCUCCUCAUUCACUGUCUACUCUUUGUUCCAUGAGUGCUGUGAGUUGCUUGAGGCCCCAGACUAUGUCUUUCAUUGAGCACUGCAUGUAUGUUUGUUACUUGCUUGGUUUUCAUUGCCGUAUGACCUAUUUUGGCCCCCGAGAUGCAUAAAAAUUCAUACUUUAAUUUCAUAAUGCUUUAAAAUUGUCUAUUGUUCCUUCCAACAUCUGUUCCCAUUAUACAGAUUCAAGCCCAAGAGAAGUGAGGCAUGGGAUGCUUUAAUUCAAAGACCUCCUCAGCUGUAAGGUGAACAAAUGAGGGUACAGAAGAGAGAGUUGUUAGAAUCUACAUUGGUACUUUCAAAAAUGUUUCCUUUCUUCCUUCCUAGAUGCUUUCUGCAUUAGCACUGUGCUCCAUUUCUUCAGUCCUAUGCCCUUCCCAAAAUUGGCACUGCAAGGUAAGUUUAAAAGAGCUGUAAUUUAGGAAGGGCUGAGCAGCUGAAACUAUAAACAGUGACCAGGGAUUUGACCGCAGAUCCUACGUGACAGUUCCUCGCUGAAUUGUACAACUUCCUCGCUAGUUAAAGCCAGGAGACACAAAUCAACGUCUACAGUGGAACCACAGCACCAGAGAAAGAAAUGUCUUUAAAAUGUCAACUAUUAAAUAGUUAUACUGUCAAGAUGGCUCAUGGGAGGUGUUUGGCUGAAUACAGGGUCAUAGUUCCUCCCACUGUGUCUAUGGGCCUGUGACUUUACCUCUCUCGGGCUCAGUUUUUCAUCUUUAAAAUGGGAAUAACAACUACCAUUAACUCUUGGAUAUCUGAGGAUUAAAUUAUACAAGAUCAAAGUAACCAGUUAGUGUAGUGCCAGGUAGAUUGUUAAUAAGUUUCAUUUUUAUUCCUUAUUUCAACACCCCCACCCCUAUCUUUGUUAAAACCUACAACGGGCAGUUGGAAAGGAAGAGAGAAGGCCAGUACUGAUUCGAUUGUUCUUUUAGCACUGAGGUUUCCACUGAUACUUCUAAGGCCUGUAGCCAGACCCAGAGGGAAGAGGGAGGUUAUCGUUUCUGGAGAGCAGGCACCGAACAUCCUGAGGCUUGGAAUGGGGUCUCCAUUCGUUUUUAUCAAAUCGUUUUUCAUAAACAAGGUCAACAUGAGUUUUCAUUUACAGACAUGAUACCUUAAAGGCAUCUCCAAAUGAGCAGGUCAGCCUUCUCAUCGAGCCCAGAGGAGAGCUGGACUCUCAGCCCAGGAUGUUCACAAAGCAAAGCAUGAGCAACAUCGCAGGGCCUGCUGUCCUGGUGGGACUGAGAUGGAGAGCCUUACAAGAAGGAUGAAAAGCAACUCAUCAAUUUCCGCAUAAAGGCACAACUGUGCCCAGGCUAGUCAGUUCACAGACCUGCUAGAAGCCCGUGAUGCUGCCUGUAAGCUUCAACACAGAGUUUUCUACUGAUUGCAGCUGCAGGCCUUCUGAAGAAGGGGAUGAAAACAGCCACGCAUAUCGGAGAUGCCAUUUCCUGUUAACUUUGAUGGUCUUGACAUACAAGAAAAUGUGCCGGAUCAGUCACACACUCAGAAGAAAGCUGUGGGGGGAGAUAAACACACCUGUACCUGAUAAUUGCUGACAACGUUCCAUGAAGCAGAAUGGUGUGUUUGGGAACAAAGUGUACCUCAUCGAAAAUCAGGGUUAACCAGCAACAUCUCUGAGUUGAACGGAGGUUCCGACGCGCGCACGCACACACACACACUCACACACACGCGCACACACACACACACACACAACUUCCAUCUUAGUCCGAUCUCUGUGAAUUGAUGCCAUUUAAUCAGAAAGGUGCUUCGGCUCUAGGACACUUCAUUUUAAUUCUGAAUGGGCUACAACAUUAAAACCUCCCACGUCCUGUCCCUCCUUGGACACUCUCUUUCCAAUGUCAGCCAAGUCAAUUGCCACGAAUUUUAAUCCUCUCCACACCACUGCCUUGUCUUUCCUACCCAACAAAAGUCACUGUUAGUUCAGAAAAAGAAUCCCAUAUCCAGGAACAAUUAGAGAAGCAAUCAAUAGUUUUAUGAAUCAGGAAUGCUCCCCCCCCCCCCCCGCAAAUUCCCCAGGAAUUAUCAAAAUAUGCAAAGAAAUUCAGUGAAGGCUAAUAAAGGUGACCCAAGAAGGCAUUAUUGCCACUGAAUGGACUUGUGCUCAUUACUGUUCCAGAAAGUACAGAUCAAUGCCACAAAGAAGAUGAUGCCACAAAACAAACUGCAUUCUGUUAAUGACUGUUACAGAAAUCUCCAUACAAAGAAAUCUAAGUGGGAUAUUUCUAAUAUGCUCACUACCAUGAUGACAAAACCAAGGUAUGCUUUUCGUCUAUGAAUUCUGACACCUUAAAUACAGAAUGAUCGUCCCCACGUAACACUCUUCCUUGUGCAUUUUACUUUCUUUCCAAGAACCUGCGUGUUUCCAUGGCUGUGCUCAAUGAACUUUUUAUCAGCCACAUUUUCACCUAAUUAACCCCCCUGAUUACAAUAAUUAGUAUUGAUUCACUCUUUGAAUGACUUCCUCGGUCUUCUAGCACAAUCUGCACUUGCUACAAAGUUCUAGAUAUGAAUACUAAUCAAAUGCUCACUUUCGUUUUUCAGCCCCAAAAGGAGAUUUUUGCAAAUGUAUACCCUCCUAUUUUAAAAAAAGCAAAACUGUCUGGUUUCAUUUUAACAAAUCAAGGAAUAUUCAUACACAGGGGGUUAGAGAUCUCAGUCUGUGGUCUGCUGAACACAUCUAUGUGAA
rnacentral:lncRNA from 10 species